UGAAAGGGAAUUGAGUGUUGCUCCUGUGAUAUCCAGGGAAUUGUCUGACGGUGUAGUGCUAUUUAUGAUAAUAAGCAGAUCUAGGUUAAGAUCCAGACAGGGCCAAACUAGACAGUGGGUGAUCCAUGAUCAGAAGAGAUGUGGAUGGCCCUUCCUGGAGCUCUUCCUUCAACUGCAGAUUCACUGAUGUCUCAAAAGCUGUUCCUUGGUAACUGGUCUAAUACUAGAUAGACUUAUCAGGCUGCUUGGUGCUCUAGUUUGAGAAUGUUCUGAAAAGUAUCAAAUUAGCAUGUGCCACAUCUAAGAUUAUAUGAAAUCAAGAAUUA